rnacentral:rRNA from 1 species
UACGAACCGUCCUAACGUUAUUCGGAAUCACUGGGCUUAAAGGGUGCGUAGGCGGCUCAGAAAGUUGGGUGUGAAAUCCCUCGGCUUAACCGAGGAAUUGCGCUCAAAACUACUGAGCUUGAGGGAGACAGAGGUGAGCGGAACUUAGGGUGGAGCGGUGAAAUGCGUUGAUAUCCUAAGGAACACCGGUGGCGAAAGCGGCUCACUGGGUCUUUUCUGACGCUGAGGCACGAAAGCCAGGGGAG